rnacentral:snoRNA from 1 species
UCUGUCAAUGAUGAUCUUAGUUUUGCUUGAGUUUAACGACCAUGAGAAAACUCACAUGCACUACCAUCUGAGACCAA